rnacentral:tRNA from 2 species
UCCCUGGUGGUCCAGUGGUUAAGACUCUGCACUCCCAAUGCAGGGGGCCCGGGUUCGAUCCCUGGUCAGGGAA